AAACUAUUCCCAAAGGCCAUUUUGCCUUUCUUUGAGAGAGAGAGAGAGAGAGAGAGAGAGAGAGAGAGAGAGAGAGAGAGAGAGAGAGAGAGAGAGAGAGAGAGAGAGAGAGAGAGAGAGAGAGAGAGAGAGAAGAGGAAGGGAGAAAGCUCACCUGAGCUCGUCGCCGGAGCAACUGUGUGCCGUGGCCACGUUGAGCUCGUCACCAUCGUUCGCUGCAGCUUAGAAUCGCCGGAAACCGCCAUGCAGUUAAGCUUAGUUUCGUCCGUUUAGUAAUUCGCCGAUAACUCUCUAACCGUUGCGAAUCUCGUGCAUCCAAGACCAUCAUCGUGUUCCUCUCGUCAAGACGAAGCCGUAGACACCAACCACGCCUCAAUCGGAGCCCGGACGAGGCCGCACGCGCCUCCCGAAGAUUCGCCUCGGCGCGCGCGUGAAACACACGCGCCGCCGCCGUCCGCCGCAACUCCGCCGCCGGACCACCGUCCUCCGCCGCAACUCCGCCGCCGGACCACCGUCCUCCGCCGCAGCUCCGCCGUCGCCGCCGGCCAACUUUCCGAUUUGGAGUCCAUUUGAGCAGCUGGAGUUCAUAUAUACCACUUCUCUUCAUUGCUAAGGUGAGACCGACGAGCAGGAGUGAUUAUACCGGACCGGUGCUUUUGGGCUUUUACUACUAUUGGGCUUUUGGGCUUCUAUCGUUUUAUCGCUUUUAUCGUUAUCGGGCCUCUAGGCCUUUGGGCUUUUAUCGUUUAUGUGAUUUCGUAUUUCGGACUCUCGGUUUAUGUCGUACUUUAUGUUUCAGAUUUUAUUUUAUAUUAUGGAAUUCAAGCGUGGAUGUUGACUUUCAAAUAUUUAUAUAUGGAUAUUUCAGAUA